UGAUAAAUUUUGGUAAGAAAUCGAACCUUCGGUGCAGCCAUCGGAUAUUCUUCAGGCAAAAAUAAUUCCAGCUUGAAAACCCCACCUUCAUAUGGAGACUGUGUGGGGUGUUGGGCCAAGAAUCAUCACGUUAAAAUAUCGCAUAUUAUCCUCUGAUGGUGAAGCGCUGAUUCCCGGUGCUGGUUCACUGAGGAGACGUUGAGUUUCCUUAAUGAUUCUUCGAGGAAGAUUACUGUUCGCCAUUUGCUGGUGGUCGAUUGAAGAGAACGCUACUUCAAGGGUUUUAGAGAGAGAGAGAGAGAGAAUGAGAGAGAUUUCUUUCUCUCACUAACCUCUACAACAACUAUUUU
rnacentral:misc_RNA from 1 species